UCUCUGUUAGUAUAUCGGUUAGUACACGCGCCUGUCAUCAGUUCCACUGGUCGCGCGAAAGCUGGGUUCGACUCCCAGACAGAGAG